GGCUCUCGGCGGGGGUCGGGUUGCCCUCGGGAACGGUGUGUUAACGCUGGAGUACGGGGAAAUAAUUUUUGAAGAACAGGCUUUCAGAAGGAACCCAGAAGGACACCCAGACUUUUUGCCUUGUUUUUGUGGGUCAAAUCUCAUGACAAUGCUGUGGAGAAAUGAAGAACAGACAAGGAACUCUGUUAAAAAUAAUAACUGUUCAGAGGACGAUCUGAAAAUGCAGAUGCAGUUGCACUUCUGAUGCUUCAAGGAACAUUAAAUCAGGACGCAUUUGAUGGUGCUUCUGAAGUAGCUGGCCCCAAAGUUUGGACUCUGCCAAUACUGAAAAAGUAUGCCUGUAAAAGUUGUCUUCCCCUGAAAGUUAUGGUUAUGGAUGUUUGUGCAUGUGCCAUGUUUAAUAUAUUUUAAUUUCUUCAUACUUAACUCAGAUGCGGUUUAAUUGAACUGGUAUUUUACUCUCUGAAGAGAAUUCCUAUUUAUGUACUGCUAUGGAAGUGUGAA